rnacentral:ribozyme from 1 species
CUACGGACUUAAUUAGAUUGAGCCUUGGUAUGAAAACCUACUAAGUGAUAACUUUCAAAUUCAAAGAAACCCUGGAAUUAAAAAUGGGCAAAUCCUGAGCCAAAUCCUUUUUCUAGAAAAAAAAAAAAAAAAGGUAAGGUCUAGAGACUCAAUGGAAGGUGUUCUAUAAUUGAAGUAAAGAAAUCUCACACUCG